AUGGAUAAUGGAGGCAUAAUCUUUUACACAUAAUUGAGCCAAUCAAAAGCUUUACUUAAACUUCACACGGAUCACCAUCCUACGGUCCAUUGCUCACCUAAUUUUCAAUCCAACGGUUUAAAAAUACCUCUAGAAACACAAAAUCCUUAAACCCACAAAUAUCAAAAUCUCUUCAAACAAGCACACCCCAAGAUCCCUCUGCCCCCACCCUUUUUGCUUCAAUUCAACCACCAGAAUCACCCACAUCUCCAUCAUCGGCGGUUGUCGGGUCGUUGUUCGAGCGAGAAUAGAAGGCGGCGGCGGUGGUGACGAGAUCAGAUGAAGACGUGAUGUUUUGAGGGCCGGCACACCCACCAACAGACGACCCCCUCUCGAUUAUAAUUGCAGUCACACACACACCAACCGCCCUCUCGUCUCUCUCAAUUCCGGCGGCUUACGCGGGCGAGGAUGGAGUCGCCGUGAAUGAUGAUGAUGGUGGUGACGAGAUCAGAUGAAGACGUGAUGUUUUGAGGGCCGGCGACCGGAGACGCCGCUCACGGCGGCGGUCUUUAUAUCCGUGAUGAAAAAUUUGAUGGAAAUGGAAGAAAUGGCAACACAGUAAAUAUGUUCAAAAUAAAGUUUUUUUUACAAUGCCUACAAUAAUUGUCAAAGCCAUACGAUGAUCUGUUUGAUGAAAAAAUAUGAUGGAAAUUAAGAAAUGGCAAUAUUGUAAAUAUGUCUAAAUCAAAGGCUUUUUUUUCUACUGUAGACAAGAGUCUACCAUAAUUCUUAUUAUAUAUGAUUAAUGUUAUUGAAUUUUUAUAGUUUUUAGUUUUAUUUACUUUUGUAUCCGAUCUCUCGGAUGUUUUAUAAAUAGAAUAAAACUAUAAAAAAACAUUA
rnacentral:lncRNA from 1 species